GAUGAACGCUGGCGGCGUGCCUAAUACAUGCAAGUCGAGCGAACAGAUGAGGAGCUUGCUCCUCUGACGUUAGCGGCGGACGGGUGAGUAACACGUGGAUAACCUACCUAUAAGACUGGGAUAACUUCGGGAAACCGGAGCUAAUACCGGAUAAUAUAUUGAACCGCAUGGUUCAAUAGUGAAAGACGGUUUUGCUGUCACUUAUAGAUGGAUCCGCGCCGCAUUAGCUAGUUGGUAAGGUAACGGCUUACCAAGGCAACGAUGCGUAGCCGACCUGUGAGGGUGAUCGGCCACACUGGAACUGAGACACGGUCCAGACUCCUACGGGAGGCAGCAGUAGGGAAUCUUCCGCAAUGGGCGAAAGCCUGACGGAGCAACGCCGCGUGAGUGAUGAAGGUCUUCGGAUCGUAAAACUCUGUUAUUAGGGAAGAACAAAUGCGUAAGUAACUAUGCACGUCUUGACGGUACCUAAUCAGAAAGCCACGGCUAACUACGUG
rnacentral:rRNA from 1 species